rnacentral:lncRNA from 1 species
CCUGUAGGCAAAGAAACUAGAUUCAUGAAUAUUACUCAAUUUUUCUUUAAGAAACACCCUGUCUCACCCUGAGAUCACUGACCUCUGUUCUGCUGGCAGUUUCAGGGAAUAGUAAUCACCCAGACGUUGUGUGGGUUUGCUUUCCUUCUUCUGGAGGAACGGAGGAUGUUGUUGACAGCCAGCCUAGAGCCCUUCAGUCUGCCUUCUGUAUCUCUCCCAUCCACUGGGGCUGCUGCCAUAUAACUGUAAGAUACAACAGCAUACCUGGUACUGUAAAGGAAGUGCUCAUCAGUGCUUGGAGGCAGCACAACUGACAAUCCACAAAGCUGGUCCACUUUUUCUGAUGCUUCAGUAAACCAUGAAGUCUGCUGCUCAGCCUGUUUCUUGUAAAAACACAGUGAUGUGGCACAAUGCUAUUUGCCUGGCUGAAGGCAGGUGGGAGGGAAGUGGUGGGAAAAACCUGAAGCUAGGCAGAUUUUUUUUUUUUUAAGGGGGUAGGAUGGGGUUUCACUUCUCAGGAUUUGUAGUGUUUUCAGACAGUAUAAAUACCUUGUGAAAAUUAAGAGUAUAUUUUGUAAAUUUCUCUCCUGGUUGUCGUAUGCGUAUUUUAUUAAAAACAUCCUUUGACAUCUUCAGAUUAAUAUCUAUAUAUUUCUUUUCUAUGUAGCUUUUCUUUCUCUGCCAUAUUCUCUGUUACUCUUGCCAGCUCUUUUUAUUUCGAUCUUGCAGAGUGGUGGCCUAUCUUUGUUGUGAAGCCAAAAUGCAAAUGUCUUGCUGCCACUUCAAUUUCAUGGCUUGAAGUGGACCUGAUUUGACAUAAACCAGACAUAUGUGGGGAAAUGUAUGAGUACAGAGGGUAUUAAUUAUAUUCUUGAGUGUUGAUCCUGAUGAUAUACAGCAAAUAACUCUGCCUAGUACCUAUCUAGCACCUAAAACUGCACUAAUUCUGGCAUAUGUAAAUCCUAUGCCUUGCAUGCAAAAUGUAUGUUGGUGGGUGAACUGAUUGAACACUAGCAUUACAUGUAUGUGUUAGAACCACUGAACUACUGUCCACUCAGGCAUGUUACGGAAGAAAUAUAUGUGCUUAAGUAAAUCUAUGCUUUUCAAAAUGUGGAGUUGGUGGUUGUCUAACAGCAUUAGGAAGCUCAUUGAGUAGCUUGUAAUCAUCUUUGAAAACCUGGGCCAAACUUUGAUUCUGGCAACUGUGCCUAGGUUAUUUACAGUGCUUGGU